AUGUCAGUUCGCUCAUAUCCGCCUCCCCUCUCCUCGCCCGAGCAGCCCUCUCCUCUUCUUUGUCCACGCUCCUCCGGACAGCCGCCACCAAACUUACGCCGCUAUCAGAGCUCCGUCACCAUCCCCAACUCAAGGCUUCGCCACCGGACGCCCAAACACACACGGCCACCACUCGACAAGGUUGCCACCACCGGACGCCGCCCCAAUGAGCAGAAACUUGUUUUUGCGGGUAGUGAAAGGUGUGUGGAGAAGGCUGAUGACAACUUCAAGCUGAGGAAGGAUUGUUGCAGAAAACUUUCCUUCUCUCUUCUACAGACAUGCACCGCUGCUCUCAGGAUGCUUGCUUAUGAUAAAGCAGCAGAUGCAAUUGAUGCAGAAAUCCGGAUGGAAGAGAUCACGCUAUAUGGGCUUGAGCUUUUAAAAAAAGGCUUGAUUUGGAGAGUUGGCAAUGGGAGGAGCAUCCUAAUUUGGGGUGAUAACUGGAUUCCCAGGCCUUUCUCUUACAAGCCUAUCACUAUCCAAGCGGACAUCAGUGAGAUCACCAAAAUACGAGCGUCACUGCGGCUUGAAGAUGAUACAUUGGCAUUGCGCCCUAGCAAGUUUGGUACGUUCUCUGUUAAGACUGCAUACAACUUAGCUUACGAAGAAGCUCACAGGGGGUCAGUUGUCAGGUCCAGUACCCAACCUGAUGGGCGUUGUUCUUGCUGGAGGACAAUUUGGUCCUGUGAUGUACCCCCAACUAUCCGGAACCAUGCAUGGAGAGUUGCAGCUGAUGCAUUACCGACCUGGAAAAAAAAAGUUCGGAAGAGGCCUGGAAACGGAUGCCUUGUGUCCGGUUUGUGGUCACGCGCGCCUAGUGCAACAGAUGAAGGCGGUUCAGCUGGGGCAGGGAUGAUUCUGAGAGAGGUUGACGGCAGCAUUAUUUUCUCGACUUGUAGAGUGUUUUUCUCUUGUCGUGAUGCCCUUGAAGGUGAGGUUGUGGUCCUGAAGAAGAAGAAGAAGAAGAAGAAGAAGAAGAAGAAGAAGAAGAAGAAGGAGGAGAAGGAGAAGGAGAAGGAGGAGGAGGAGGAGGAGGAGGAGGAGGAGAAGGAGAAGAAGGAGAAGAAGAAGAAGGAGGAGGGGAAGUGA
rnacentral:rRNA from 1 species